rnacentral:tRNA from 1 species
GACAGUGUAGUAUAAUGGUUAAGGAGUUGGUCUUAUAACCUAAAUGUCGCCGGUUCGAUUCCCCCACUGCCG